AGCAGCCGCGGUAAUUCCAGCUCCAAUAGCGUAUAUUAAAGUUGUUGCAGUUAAAAAGCUCGUAGUUGAAUUUCGGGGUUAGUAGGCUGGUCGUGCCACCGGUACGUACUGGUCUUACUGAUUCCUCCUUCCUGAUGAACUGUAAUGCCAUUAAUUUGGUGUUGCAGGGAAUCUGGACUGUUACUUUGAAAAAAUUAGAGUGUUUAAAGCAGGCUAACGCUUGAAUACAUUAGCAUGGAAUAAUGAAAUAGGACGUUCGAUCCUAUUUUGUUGGUUUCUAGGAUUGACGUAAUGAUUAAUAGGGAUAGUUGGGGGCAUUAGUAUUCAAUUGUCAGAGGUGAAAUUCUUGGAUUUAUUGAAGACUAACUACUGCGAAAGCAUUUGCCAAGGAUGUUUUCAUUAAUCAAGAACGAAAGUUAGGGGAUCGAAGACGAUCAGAUACCGUCGUAGUCUUAACCAUAAACUAUGCCGACUAGGGAUCGGAUGAUGUUAAUUUUUUAAUGACUCAUUCGGCGCCUUA
rnacentral:sRNA from 1 species